GAUGAAGAACGUAGCAAAAUGCGAUACUUGGUGUGAAUUGCAGAAUCCCGUGAACCAUCGAGUUUUUGAACGCAAGUUGCGCCCGAAGCCUUUUGGUCGAGGGCACGUCUGCCUGGGCGUCACGCAUCGCGUCGCCCCCCACAAUUCUCCGUAAAGGGAACGUGUGUUUUGGGGGCGGAUAUUGGUCUCCCGUGCUCAUGGCGUGGUUGGCCGAAAUAGGAGUCCUUUCGAUGGACGCACGAACUAGUGGUGGUCGUAAAAACCCUCGUCUUUUGUUUCGUGCUGUUGCUCGCAAGGUAAACUCUUUAAAAACCCCAAUGUGUCGUCUCUUGACGACGCUUCGACCGCGACCCCAGGUCAGGCGGGACUACCCGCUGAGUUUAAGCAUAUCAAUAAGCGGAGGA
rnacentral:misc_RNA from 1 species